UACAUAGGGUGCAAGCGUUGCUCGGAAUUAUUGGGCGUAAAGCGCGCGUAGGCGGUUACUCAAGUCGGAUGUGAAAGCCCUCGGCUUAACUGAGGAAGUGCACCCGAAACUGAGUAGCUAGAGUACUAAAGAGGGUCGCGGAAUUCCCGGUGUAGAGGUGAAAUUCGUAGAUAUCGGGAGGAACACCGGUGGCGAAGGCGGCGACCUGGGUAGAUACUGACGCUGAGGCGCGAAAGCGUGGGGAGCAAACAGG
rnacentral:rRNA from 1 species